GGACUCCUUGGGGUUUUUUUGCUGUUUUGGGGUUUUUAGCAGUGCCAUGCUCUCCCUGCUCUGUUUCCUGAGGACUCCUUGGGGUUUUUUGCUGUUUUGGGUGUUUUGGCAGCGCCAGGCUCACUCCUGGCUGUGUUUUCUCACGAUUCCUUGGGGUUUUUUGCUGUUUUUGGGUAUUUUGGCAGCGCCAUGCUCCCCCUGCUCUGUUUCCUCAGGACUCCUUGGGGUUGUUUUGCUGUUUUGGGUAUUUUGCCAGCACCAGGCUCACCCCAGCUCUGUUUCCUGAGGACUGCUUGGGGUUGUUUUGCUGUUUUUGGGUAUUUUAGCAGNUCCUUACGGUGAAUUUGCCUUUCUCCGCUGCAGGCGCUCGCUCCCCGGUGGAUCAGGAGGCGCUGCCCCGGUGACCGGAGGUGGGGAUGGGCCGGCGCUCCUCGGACACGGAGGAGGAGGGCAGGAGCCGCAGGAAGAAGAAGCACCGGCGGCGCUCCUCCUCCAGCAGCUCCUCGGACAGCCGCGCCUACAGCCGCAAAAAGUCGGGCCGCAAAUCCAGGUCCAGGUCGCGCUCCCGGGAUCUCCCGUCCUGGUCCCACUCCUAUGAGAAAAGGCGCAGGCACAGAUCCAGCAGCAGCUCCUCCUACGGCUCCAGGAGGAAGCGCAGCCGCUCCCGGGGCAGAGGCAAAUCCUACAGAUCCCAAAGGUCCAGGUCAAAGAGCAGGACCAGGAGAGCUCGAGUUUCUCAAGGCAGCCCUGCACGAGCAGAUGUCUUGAGGAUGCCCUGGUAAUCCAAAACCCUCUUUGCUCUGUGCAUUGUUGCUCUUUCCAGGGUUCAUUUCUAGGAGUGAUUUUUUCCCCACUGUAAAACACAAAACAAUAGAAUUUAGUAGUAAAAAUUUACUCUUUAUUCCCUUCUUUCACUCUUUCUAAUUCUGAUAAUGUGUGACAGGAAGAGAAUCUGGUUAAAAUGAUGAAGACAAAAAAAGUGGAUUUCUGCCGAAAAAUUGAUAUGGGGAGGUUAUGUUGGGUGUGGAGUGAUAGAGCAGGGGGGAUGAAUUCCCACUGCCAGAGGGCAGGGCUGG
rnacentral:lncRNA from 1 species